GUUGUUGUGGCGUAGCGGAAGCGUAGCGGGUUCAUAACCCGGGGGACGGUGGAUCAAAACCACCUUCAGCC